UUUUUCUUUGUCUCCAUUUGCCUUCGGACACACACAUGUAUGUAUGAACUGCUCUCCACAGGAAUGGCAAGAAAUGUGCCAGACUCACACAAAAAUGCAGGCAAUUUUUAUGAUAAGAUCCAAACAGAGGUCAGGUCAGCCAAAUAAUGCAGAAGCAAAGGAACACUUUUUCUUUGUCCCCAUUUGCCUUCAGACACACACAUGUAAGUAUGAACUGCUCUCCACAGGAAUGGCAAGAAAUGUGCCAGAAUCACACAAAAAAUGCAGGCAAUUUUUAUGAGUAAAGAUCCAAACUUGCUGCUAGAACAUGUGUCUGUACUACUGCUAGAACAUGUGUCUUGGUUUCAGAAAUGUGAUCUGCUGCUGCAGAGUGUUUCAGUUUCAGAGACAGGAAAUUGAACCACUGAGGAAAUGCAAUAUAUGCAAAUCAGGCAAAGAGGUACAGAUUCUCAGAUUCUUAGAAGAUGAGAACUAUAGAUAGAUAGAUCAUCUUAUAAGCUAAUGUGGUGAUUUUUAUGUUGUAUCACAGUUUUCUUUUCAGAAUGGGUGACAGGCAAGUUCCUAACACCUUUGUCUGUGUGUGUGCUUUGUGUGUUCCAUUAUGUUGUCCCAAGCUUUACAGAUCAUGUACACUUCGGCACCAUUUUUAACACUUCCUUUGUUUUUCCUUCCUUCAGAGAAAAUUUUGCUAAGAAGACAUGAUCCCUGUGCCGGGUUAAUUACGAUCCUCAGACAUAUACAACGGGGCGAAUAGCGCGAUCAAA